UUGCGAAGGCAGCUUACUACAUAGUUAUUGACACUGAGGCACGAAAGCGUGGGGAUCAAACAGGAUUAGAUACCCUGGUAGUCCACGCCCUAAACGAUGGAUACUCGACAUCAGCGAUACACUGUUGGUGUCUGAGCGAAAGCAUUAAGUAUCCCACCUGGGAAGUACGACCGCAAGGUUGAAACUCAAAGGAAUUGACGGGGACCCGCACAAGCGGUGGAUGAUGUGGUUUAAUUCGAUGCAACGCGAAAAACCUUACCUACCCUUGACAUGUCAGGAAUCCUGUAGAGAUAUGGGAGUGCUCGAAAGAGAAUCUGAACACAGGUGCUGCAUGGCCGUCGUCAGCUCGUGUCGUGAGAUGUUGGGUUAAGUCCCGCAACGAGCGCAACCCUUAUCAUUAGUUGCUACGCAAGGGCACUCUAAUGAGACUGCCGGUGACAAACCGGAGGAAGGUGGGGAUGACGUCAGGUCAUCAUGGCCCUUAUGGGUAGGGCUACACACGUCAUACAAUGGCCGGUACAGAGGGCUGCCAACUCGCGAGAGGGAGCUAAUCUCAGAAAACCGGUCGUAGUCCGGAUCGCAGUCUGCAACUCGACUGCGUGAAGUCGGAAUCGCUAGUAAUCGCGGAUCAGCUUGCCGCGGUGAAUACGUUCCCGGGUCUUGUACACACCGCCCGUCACACCAUGGGAGCGGGUUCUGCCAGAAGUAGUUAGCCUAACCGCAAGGAGGGCGAUUACCACGGCAGGU
rnacentral:rRNA from 1 species